rnacentral:misc_RNA from 1 species
ACACCUCAACUCUCAUGGCUUGCCAUGAUGAGCUUGGACUUUGGGGGUCUUGCUGGCCUGCAGUCAGCUCCUCUCAAAUGAAUUAGCUUCCCAGUGUUUGGCGGCAUCACAGGUGUGAUAACUAUCUACGCUUGUGGUUUUCCACCAGGUAACCUUCAGCAAUGGGGGUUCGCUGGGGCUCAUAAAUGUCUCUCCUCAGUGAGGACAGCUCUUUGAAC